rnacentral:rRNA from 1 species
UGUAUGAAGCCGGAAUUGCUAGUAAUGGCAGGUCAGCAUACUGCCGUGAAUACGUUCCCGGGCCUUGUACACACCGCCCGUCACACCAUGAGAGUUGGGGAUACCCAAAGCCCGUGAGCCACCUAUAAAGAGGCAGCGGUCUAAGGUAGAAUCAAUGAUUGGGGUGAAGUCGUAACAAGGUACC